rnacentral:rRNA from 1 species
GACGAACGCUGGCGGCGUGCUUAACACAUGCAAGUCGAACGGAAAGGCCCUGCUUUUGUGGGGUGCUCGAGUGGCGAACGGGUGAGUAACACGUGAGUAACCUGCCCUUGACUUUGGGAUAACUUCAGGAAACUGGGGCUAAUACCGGAUAGGAGCUCCUGCUGCAUGGUGGGGGUUGGAAAGUUUCGGCGGUUGGGGAUGGACUCGCGGCUUAUCAGCUUGUUGGUGGGGUAGUGGCUUACCAAGGCUUUGACGGGUAGCCGGCCUGAGAGGGUGACCGGCCACAUUGGGACUGAGAUACGGCCCAGACUCCUACGGGAGGCAGCAGUGGGGAAUAUUGCACAAUGGGCGGAAGCCUGAUGCAGCAACGCCGCGUGCGGGAUGACGGCCUUCGGGUUGUAAACCGCUUUCGCCUGUGACGAAGCGUGAGUGGCGGAAAUGGGUAAAGAAGCACCGGCUAACUACG